UUAACUAUUAUAUAGUACUCAGACGACAUAGAUAAUAUGAGUUUGGGGUCCUCUGGCAGGCGCGGACUAGCCGAGGCCAGCGGUCCGAGGACGGGCCUGCCAAAGCAACAAAGGUAAGGUAAACAAAGGGUGGGAGAUUAGCCCGGAGGCAGUUCUCUUUAGUGAUCCUUCCGCAGGUUCACCUACGGAAA
rnacentral:misc_RNA from 1 species